GGGGGCCGUGGGUUCGGGGCAAUGGCCGUGGCGCUGCACCAGCGCCAGCACCGCCUGGCGCCAGGCGGUCUGUUGUUCGAGGGCGCUGGCGCCCA
rnacentral:tRNA from 1 species